UACGGAGGGUGCAAGCGUUGUCCGGAUUUAUUGGGUUUAAAGGGCGCGUAGGCGGGCUGCCAAGUUUGGGGUGAAAUCCUCCGGCUCAACCGGAGCAGUGCCUCGAAUACUGGCGGUCUCGAGGGAGGUAGGGGCGUGCGGAACUGUGGGUGGAGCGGUGAAAUGCGUUGAUAUCCACAGGAACUCCGGUGGCGAAGGCGGCACGCUGGACCUUUUCUGACGCUGAGGCGCGAAAGCCAGGGGAGCGAACGGG
rnacentral:rRNA from 1 species